rnacentral:tRNA from 1 species
GCCCCCGUAGCUCAAUGGACAGAGCACCUGACUUCGGAUCAGGCGGUUGCGCGUUCGAAUCGCGCCGGGGGCGCCU